CCUUAUAAUAUCAACCAUAGUCAUCAUUGCUAUGUGCAUUCAGCUUUUAGCUUGUUCUGUGACUCCGUACGUGUGCAUGGGUUUAUAAGCACACACACAUAUAUUCCAUAGUGGUGGGCCUGUUAAACUGGACAGUGAUUUCUCUACUACCAAAACAAGUAUAAUAACAUGCAUGUAGUGAUGAUAGCUAAGGUGUUUGGGGAUGGGGAUGCAUAAUAUCUUAUAAAUGUGAAGUUUUUAUCAGGCAGAGCAGAUUACUUUAAGCGUUCAAUUUCUCGGCGAUCCAAUUUUAUUAGGAUUUACUAUCAUUUGUGCUGAGCAUCCCUGGGGAAAUAAUGCUUUGAUUAAUGUAAUCCUGGGCUGGGAUCCGCCACAUGCCCCUCUCCCAAGAGAAAGGCCCUGUUUGACAAACAAAAACAGAGCAGCAACUAUUGCAAUCUGCACUCACCUUUAGAAAGCACAGACACACACACACACACACACACACACACACACACACACACACACACACACGUAAAAUAUAACCACCUCCUCCCCCUACCCCAAAGACAAUAGUGGCAUUUCAAAACAAUGUGCACUCUUAUUCAUUUGCACACAGCGCCUCUGAUUCAGUGUGGGCUGUACAGUCCAGCCCUCAUCUGCACCGAGCCAGCCCAAAAAGGCUCCUGCUCUGUUCCCCACUGAGAAGCUGAAGCAUCCCUGGGAAGCUCAAUGCCUCUCUGUAUUUCAGGCUCUCCUUGGUCUCCCAACGUCUCUGCCUCUUUGUUUCCCACUGCAGGCCUUGCUGCAAACCGAUUUCAAGUCUGCUCGUUCAAUCCACCAGAGCUAGGGGCCCAAGAAGCUUUGUCACUGCGAGCGGCUCGGUGGCCCGUACCUGCAGGCACCUGCUUCUCGACCAGGGGCCCCACUUUGUUCCACCCCCAYUGCCCGUUCUGGCUGUGUCACAGGCUGGCAGGAACAAUAGCGUUUAGACAGGUCUGGAGGAAUAAACAUACCAAGAUCAGAGAUCAACAUGCUUUCCCUUUCUUUACACCUCUAGGUGAACUGGCCGGUGUAUCCCCCUGCCUCCUUCUCCUCUUCCUCUCCCCCCAGAAUGAAGCCCACCAUGGGCAGCUGAAAUGGUGGUUCAGUGCUUUAUUUCCUCCCCCGCCAGGACACAGCAGGUCCCAAUGCACCCGAGGACACCCAGUGACAAAGGAGGGCCCUGCCUGCACUUCGGCCACUUUGCUCGAAGUCUGGACUGAUAAACCCAGGAGGAGGAGGAGGAGGGGAGGGAGCGCCAGCCGGAGACGAGGAGCGAUGCGGUUUGCGCCAGGGUUUUCGAURAGAUGCUCCCCUCCCACUCGUGUUUACCCGGUGACCCCAAUGCGGUGACUCAGCGAUUACAGGGCUCUGGGUGUCUGCGGGGGGGUGGGGGGAGCUUCCUCCCCCCCUUCCUCCUUCUUUUCUUUCCUGAUGAAAAACGAUGCAAUUACAUUUCUGCAUGCUGAUCUGAGAGUUCAAAUAACAAGCCUUAAACGCGUUAUCAGGCGCGUGUUAAAGGAGAAAGGGGGGAGGAAAGGGAAGGGGGGGAUCUAGACGUGCGUGUGUGUGCGCAUGCCGGCAUAUGUGUGUCUGCAUAUACAUAUAUACGGACGUAUAUAUGCGCUUAUAUGUGGAUGCAUAUAUAUUUAAACGGAAGCCUGCUAGAUGGGCUGCUGUGCGGCCUGAAUCCGUGCACCGAGGCAGCUGAGGGAUGAGGCUUGGUUUAAAACAACAACAACAACAACAACCGCAACAGCGAAGCAGGAGGAGGAGGAAGAGGCGCGGAUCACUCCGGG
ensembl:lncRNA